rnacentral:lncRNA from 1 species
UUUUAUUUUUAGUUAGUCUGAUUUUUUACUUUUAAUAAGUCUAAUUUCUAUUUUAACCGUGGAUCAAAAUUUAUUUUCAUAAGGUCAAUUUUUAAUUUUUAAUUUGAAGUAAUAUUGGUUGAUUUGGAUUUAGUAAUGUAUACCUCUAAUAAGAAACUUAUAACCGAUGGCAUAAACGAGUCAAUUCUAAUAAUUCGAUAACAUAUUUGAGUCUUUUUCCAUUAGAUUAAGAAAGCUUAGGAACUUUGACUCACUAGUUUUCCAAGAAAUGAACUUCCUUUUUAACUAUUCUUAGUUAAACCAAGUAGACUAAAAGGUCAAUGAAACUUACAGAAAGCUCAGCAAAUAGUCAUCCAACAAGGGUAGGAAUAAACAGGUUGAUUGAUAACUUGUCACGAGUCGAGUUAACUCGUAUGUUUAUAAUAGUCACCUAACUAUUUUACCAAAAUAAUAGUGAGCAGUAAAAAAGAAUGAUCAGAAUUGAGCUAACAACAUCAAACUUAUUCAUGCUAGGCAUAUCAAUUCCAACACAUUUUUCCUUGAAAGUUGAAACCAUAUUUAGAAUGUAAGAACAAAUUUUACUGAAUAUUUUAACAAAUCAUUUUGUAGACACUUGCACCAACCAAGCUCCUAAUAUUUUAGAUUGUGGUGUACUAGCUAUAAACUGAUUUAAUUUUGUUCUAGAAAAUGUAUCUGACAUCUUCCAGAUAAGACAUUGAAAUGGUCGACUUAGAAUUAAGGAUAGCACCACUAAAGUUCCCUCUUUCAGAAGGAAAAGGGCACAUGUGCUGACACCAAGCAACCAAUCAGGUAAGCCCUUUCCUCUCUAUGUCCUUUUCAUUCAAACAUUUCCCAUCUCUGUCAUAAAAGUAGCGUACUUGCAUUUAUUUCACAUCACUCCAAUUCCCAGCUUUCUAUACAAGACAGAGUCAAAAAUGAUAGGCACACGACGGUAGUGUUAAAAACUAUGUGGUUACAGGUUACUAUAGCUUUUUGUCUUGAAAUGUCCCAAGAUAGUGAAGUAAACAAACUAGGAAACCAAAAAAGAGGAGUUAAUCCAUGCAAAAAGCUGAAGUUUAAACAAAGGAAAAAAGAUGCUCUUCUGGCCAGUUAGUAUAGAAAAUAUGCAACCGGAACAGACUCAAAACUCUGUGAACCACAGAAUUAGACCAAAUACACAAAGUCUUUGACUAGAUCUCCAUGCCACAAUGAGAGCUUUCAGAAUUGAUCACAUCAUACUCAAGUAAGGUCCCAAUAGGAAUAGCAAUAGCCAUCAAACAUUUUUAUUUUUCUAAUUAUCUUAUGGGCCUAAGGUUAGUUGCAGUAUGAUCAGUUUACCACAACCUGGGAAUAUGGAUGAGAAUACAGAUUCCGGAUGCUUAAAAGAUGCAUUGUCAACUUGGCAUAACCAGACGUGCCAUAAAUGAAGGCUUUCCAACUCCUUUAGUUGAGCAUAAGAAGGCUGUUGAACAUCCGAAGUCAACUAAAAGAAAGGGAUGUUGGAUGAGCAUAGGCAAAAAGUAUUGAAGUCUUGCAAGAUACAGUGCUAACUGACUUCAGAUAAUGAUGAACUUGUGCACAUGUUAUAGGUGGUUAUUACCAGAAAGUAGAUGCGGAAAAAAAAAAGACCAAGGAAAAACAGAGGAUUCCCGAAAAGCAAGAUAGGUAAACACAGUUGUGAAAUGUAACAGUAUUUUCACAAAUUCCAACUUCUAGACGUCUCAAUAAACCAUAUAUGAAUAAUAAUGCCUUGCAAAAUUUCAAUCCACAUCAUGAAACUAGAACCUGAUCGUAACAAUUCAGUUUGAUGGCAAAAAAAUUAACACUGCCUCCAUCAAAUCAUUACCUGUCUACUAUCAAAUUUCUGUUGUGGUAAUGCAAAAAACAUUCAGAUGUACUGAAGUUAUGAAGUUCUUUCAGGUCUGAUUUAGAAAAGAGCACCAGCGCUAAAGCCACCCAACAACAGAGGCUUGAGCCGGGAUUUCAACCAAGGGGAUUUAAUAUUUGAAGAGAAACUAGCCAUAGGAGUUCAACACCUACUAUCUAUACAUAAACAAUAAUUUUAAUCAUGUAUAAAUAAUAUAUUUUUCCAUCGAAGGGGGUUUGGAUGAACCCCCUAGCCAAAGGCUGGCUCCGCCCCUGCCCAGCACAAGGUUUUGGAAAAGCAGAUGUAAUAUUCAUACAGAUGUACCUGCAUCUAAAGAUGCUCUUCACGCACAUUUCAGAAGGCUGCUUACAGGUUACUGCUCAAGUUUGUGACACGAAGUCACUGGGGAUCACUGCAAUAGAAAAACUAAAACUGGAACUUAAGGAAAGUUUAAACACUUCUAAUAACUGCUUCGUGACAUAAUUAAAUAUAGCAAGAAAUAAGAUGAUAGAAUGACCUGACAAAGUACGUAACUUCAUAUUUUUGAAACUUCCACUAUCACAUAUGGAAAUGACUCAGGCAUAUCUGGCACUGUUUCCCGUCCCAUUCCCUUCUUGAUCUAAAAAGUUAAAAAAGAACCAUCCUGAAAGUGGAUAAGAAUAAAUCAUUCGAGAAUCAUGAGUAAAAUUCAAAGGAGUCAGGAUGUGUCUUGGUAUUUCAUCAUUGCUUCCAACUAUAUGCAAAUCUACGAUGGAUUUCAUUCUGAUGUCCAAUCAUAUUAAAUAAAAUAUCCUAGACAAUUGUGGUAUCUGGGCUAGCCUUCGCGCACCUCAACUAAAUCCACGGGAUACCUGUCACCUCCCACUAGCAAUAAAUAUUAGGUAACUCUGUCCACGAAUUUUAGAAACUAUUUGAUCAACAAAGAUCAGUUAAUUUAUCUCUUAUCAUUCACUCCUCUGAGAUAUGUAAAUAAAGCUGCUAAAACAUAAACUUCGGAAUAAAAAAUGGAAUAUCUAUAUUUAUUUCAGAAAAACAAAUCUUAAAUCACAUGGUACAUGAUUUGGAGAAGUUAAUUUGGUAUGAGGACUAUAAAAUGUUACCGACACAAGAAUUUCAAAAGUUCCAUUUUCGGGGACCUUUGGAAAUUCUUUUCCAAAAUGUCAUGAUUGAUCUGAAGCAUACAUCUAUAAUUAUUUAAGGAACCAUAAAAUUACAAUCUGUCUGCCUCUUUGUUAUUGAAAAGGCUAGUCACUUCAACUUGAUACCAAUUGCAUGAGUAAAACUAGAAAACAAAUAUUAUUUUUUCUCUGGACAAGCUAAUAUCGUUACCUGCUCUUAAUUUUUCUAUGGUCUACCUAAAAUUGCUCGCAUACACAACAGAGUUCGACAGGACAUUAGAAGGAAGCAAAUGCUAAUUGGUUAUGAUCUUAAGGACUUCCAGCCACUCAAUUUGGAGAACUUUGGAGUAUGCUUUCCUUAAAUAAUGAGGGUCCACGUGGUAAACUUGCAGGCAUGAGUUCCACUAGAUGAUAAGCUGAAAUUAACAGGUUACUCAAGUACCAAAAAGAAGCAACUAGAGAAUUGAAAACCUUCCUAAGAAUCAGCCAAGGACAAAUAAUCACGUGAAGUAGAAACCGACUAAUCCAUAUAGACAAGCGACUAUUAUAUUAUGAACAACCUCAUUUUACAGAAGAGCAUCAAGACAAAGAUAGAACAAUUCUAAUAGCUUAUUUUGCGAAAUUUUUUUUUGUAAAAAAGGAAUAAAUAAUAUUGUUAAACAAAAUGAAACGAUUACUCCAUUAUAGGAAUGUUCAAACAAUAGUAAUACAGAAUACAAGCAGAGCGGUGAAGUUUAAGGAUUCAGCUGAAUCACUUGCCUCUCCUUUCCCUUUCACAACCCUAAGGAUUCAGUCAUUUUUGUACUCACACAGCCACAAAAAAGAAAUAAGUUUACAGAACGGAGUUUGAAGCCUAUACUUCAAAGUUCAAACCGAGCCCUGCCAUUCGACCGAACUGAGUUUUGAUUGAAAAAUGAGAUGGUGGGGGCGAGAUGAAGCUAAGUUAAAAGUUAAAAUCGAAGGAAUACAACACGCCAUCACGAGUUUUAAUCACCUUGCUGACAGGCUUGAAGAUGAGAUCAAUCUCAUCAGAUGAUUUCCAUUUAUUGGGUUCAUUCCACCCUCAUUUACAUAACAUUCUACAUAGAAUAGAUGGCAAUUUGUGAUAGAAGGAAGAAAUAUAACAGAUACACACAUAAAAAGAAAAAGACAAGCGUGUACAGUAUAUGAACUGACAUGAACCAAGAAACUAAAUUCAAUAUACAGUAAAUUAUUCCACGUCACCUAUGUAACCAAUACUCGGAUACCAUUCUGAAAAUAGUAAUGAGCAAGCACUCACCACUUAUUUGUUCUUUUCUCCCCUCCACAAUUGUGCACCAAGAAGCAUUUACACACAAAGAUAUGAGGUUUUACCAUGGUAUAACAAAAAAGAUAUCACUUAGUGUGUGAUUGAUACGGAGGAAAAUAUGGAAAAUGUUUUCUAAUUUUCCCUCUUGUGGGAUUUCACUGGGAAUGUUGUUGUUGUUGUAGUUUUCUAAUUUUCCCAUGUUUGGUCGGUCAAAAAUUUUUGGAAAAUAUUUUCUCUAUGAAACAAACUUCCUUAAAAAUGAGGUAAAACGAUUUCCCUGAUGGAAGUAGGGAAAACAAGUUCUACAAGUGGCAUUUCACUUUAAUUGUUUCCUCCCCAACCUUUAAUACACUCCACCUCAUAGACCCCAUCCCCACAGUCCUACAUUCCGCCCCCACCGUCAGUGUUUGUCUAGAUUAUAUAAAAUGUUUUUGGAAAAUAUUUUCUGCUAACAAAAACACCAGAAAAUAAGUAAGAAACCAAUCCAGGAAAAUAUUUUCCUUCAUACCGAAUAUAUCCUUAGUGCAGGUCAAAAUCAAAGGUCCAGAUUUUUCCACACAAUUUGAACAUCCUCAUCCUUCCAGUAUUUAAAGGUGACUCUGGCAUAGCUUCCUUGUUAGACUGGAGAACUUUUAGCUCAGGACUUCUACAUCAAGAUAUCUGAAAUAUUACAUACGCACGCAGAGAGAUAAAUGGUGAGCAUUCCAGAUCUCAUAUCCUCUUUUUCAUAUUCUCUCACAGCAAAUUUUACUUAAUUUACGUGCACUAUACUGCAGGAUCAUGCGCAGGGCUUCACCACGUGGGAAGGCUAUGUGGACUGGAGAAACAGGCCAGCCAUUAAGGGAUGUCAUGGUGGAGCUGUUGCUGCCUCCUUUGUAUUAGGUCAGUAAACCACUCUCUCUUCAUAAACGCUACAGCUGAAAUUCAUUAAUUAGUAACUAUAAUCUGUAUAAACUUAGUUUUAAUGGUAAAAUAUAGCUUGUAUCAAUUAUCAAUCUGAUUUUUUCAAUUGUGGACACAGUGGUGGAGAUUUUGGAGAACUUAGCAUACCUGGCAAAUGCGAGCAAUCUAGUCCUUUAUCUAUCAAAGUUCAUGAAUUUUUCUCCAUCUGCUUCAGCCAACAUUGUUACAAACUUUAUGGGAACUGCUUUCCUCCUUGCUCUACUUGGGGGGUUCUCAUCUGAUUUCUUCUCCACCUAUUACAUCUAUAUCAUAAGUGCAACAAUUGAAUUUAUGGUAAGAUAUCUUUCUCUUUGACAUUAUCGUUUGUUUGAUUAUAUGCACUAACUAGAUAAUAUUAGUUUAACCUCCUUGAGUUCAAAUUUUUUCCCCAGCUUUGUAUAGUCUGCUCUAUCAAAAGACACAAGUAGAAGUAAAUAUGGACCUUAAUAACAACCACAGGAAAUUGGACCAAAGGAAUGGCCGUGUGCGUCAUUAACCAUUACAGCACUAUGAGAAAACAAUCAGCUCUUUUAGGUCCAUACUUGAGAAAACAGAAUCAGACCGAAUCUCCAAGUUGUCCAUAAGAUGCCAUUAUAAAGAUCUUGAAGGUAUUCUGUGGAAGAAGCAAUUAUGCCACACUCAAAUAGUUGUCCUGAAUUUGCUAAGAAUAUUAGCAGACGGAGACUAGAUACUAGCAAGCACAAUAUUCACUUCAUAACUUUACCUGCCCCACAUCACAUAUAUUUCUACCCACACCAUUUAAUAACUUAUGGCCUAUGGGGUCAGCAGCAUAAUAGAAAUAAAAUUAAUUAUUAAGAAACAAAUGAUGUACCCCAAAUUCCACAUAUCUUGAACUUUUCUGUCCAAUUAGAUAUGAGGAACGCAAACAGGGUCCUCAGCACAAUCACCUGAUUGAUGACUGCUGGCUAGAAACCAGUAUAGUUCAUUUCAAGUUAAUUUUUAAUGAAAAAGACACGCUGAUAACAAAAUGUUACUUUAGCUUGCAUGGAGAAAUAAUGGAAAACUCAGUGCAUAGAAAAUAUUGUAACCAAAAGUAACUGAAGACAGGUAUUAACCAGUCCAUCUAACUUCACCAAGUAAAAUUCUCAAGUGAUCAAGGCUUUUAUUCAGAACCGUCCAUGGCUUUUUUUCUGUUCCAGGAAAAGAUGGACGUUGUGCAUGGAUGUACUAUGUUUUCAGGAACCACUUAAAGGAUCUCAAAAGGAAGUGCCUAAGCUUCCUAACAUGAUGAUGAAUACUCUGCUUCUUAAGCACUUAAUUAGCCUGGCAAAAAAAAAAAAGACGUGACGCAUAGCCUUCUCCUUUUACGUGAAACAUAUAGUAGUAUGGUAUGUUGCAUGGACUAUUACUAACUGAAAAACCUGGACCAGGGACUAUUGAUGCUGACAUUACAAGCUUGCAUACCUUCCUUAAGACAGCCCAUCUGUGCAUCAGUAAACAGAAACAUCCCGUGCAAAGAAGUAGGUGGUGGACACACAGCAAUGUUAUUUUCUGGCCUCUACCUGGUGGCUUUGGGUGUUGGAGGGAUAAAAGGUUCACUUCCUUCACAUGGAGCAGAGCAGUUCGAUGAGAAUUCACCACAAGGAAGGAAGCACAGAUCUAGCUUUUUCAAUUAUUACAUCUUCUGCCUUGCUUGUGGAGCAUUGAUUGCAGUAACAUUAGUAGUGUGGGUAGAAGAUAAUAAAGGCUGGCAGUGGGGCUUUGGUAUCUCAACCGUAGCAAUACUGAGUUCAAUUGCCAUUUUCCUCCUCGGAUCUGGGACUUACAGGAUCAAAGUUCCCACAGGAAGCCCAAUUACAACCAUUUUUAAGGUACGGCUCUGUUAUUAGUAGGCAUCCCAUACAUGCAUGCAUACUAAAAUAAGGUAAAGUAAUUCGCAUUGACUUGCUUGAACAGGUUCUUGUGGCAGCAUUUUCCAACUCUCUCUUCCCUAAGAAUUCUAUUGGUAAUGUGCAAGACACGAGGGAAAAUCCCGAAAACACAACGGAGAUUAGUGAGGAUGAAGAAGGACACAGAGAACAAGGGGAAGAAAUUCAAACUGAAAUGAAGGACCUCAAGUUCAUCGGUAAAGCAACAGUGAGGAACACAGCCUACCCAUCACUGCGCUGCACAGUUAAACAAGUACAAGAUGUGAAAAUAGUCGUUCAGGUCGUGCCAAUAUUUAUGUCAACCGUCAUGCUGAACUGUUGCCUGGCUCAGCUUUCCACAUUUUCUGUACAACAAGCAGCUACCAUGAACACAUAUAUUGGUGCUCUAAAAGUUCCACCAGCUUCUCUUCCAAUAUUUCCGGUCAUAUUCACCAUGAUACUGGCACCAGUAUAUAACCAUAUUAUAAUCCCCUUCGCCAGGGCAGUGACAAAAAGUGAAAUGGGCAUUACCCAUCUCCAACGGAUCGGAACCGGGCUAUUCCUGUCCGUUGUAGCCAUGGCUGUUGCAGCUCUGGUGGAGAUGAAGCGGAAGAGAGUGGCUGAACAAUCUGGAUUAAUGAAUACAACUGAACCACUGCCUAUCACAUUUCUUUGGAUAUCAUUGCAAUAUCUGUUCCUGGGAUCAGCUGAUCUCUUCAGCUUAGCUGGACUGAUGGAAUUCUUCUUUACAGAGGCACCCUUAAGCAUGAGGUCAAUGUCAACAGCACUCUCUUGGGCAUCACUAGCCAUGGGUUAUUACCUCAGCUCAGUGAUUGUAUCAAUAGUAAACAGUAUAACUGGUAGGUUUCAGCAAACACCAUGGCUCUACGGGAGUAAUUUGAAUCACUAUCACCUUGAAAGGUUUUAUUGGCUAAUGUGCAUAUUAAGCGGAUUGAAUUUCUUACAUUAUCUUCUAUGGGCCAGUCGCUACAAAUACAAAUCAACAAAGCCUGAUUGCGAGAGAGGCCGAGAUGAUAACACGACAUCAGAAGCCUAAUUGUAGUUGCUCAUAUAUGUGAUGUUCAAAUGCUAAGCACAUAAAGAAGGAACAGGAAGGGAUCUGAGCAGCUAUCAUACAUUGGCUACUAUUUACCUAAAUUGUAAGUUUCUAAAGGCCGGAGCACUCGUUACCCUCAGGUGUUUUGGUAGCUUUCUAAAUGCCGAUUACUUUGUAUUACUAAUAGAAAAUGCUAUUACACCAUAAUUUUGUAUUUUCCCCAUGAAAUCAAGCACAUGUACUCCUCCUCUUCACACCCAGGAUAGUUACUCCAUAAUAAUAUAAUAACAUCUGAAGUAUUCAGCUACUUAAGUUUCUGUCAUUGUAAUUAUGGUAUUGUAUUCUGUUGUUAGUUUAAAUACAAAACUACAAUGUUAGUUUUGAUCGUUACAUAAAUUUUUGUAUCAUAUUGUUAAAUCCAUCUUUACGUAACGACUAAAAGACCUAUAUUGCGUAACUUUACUAUUUUUUUGUCUUUACUAAUUAUUUAAUAAUCUUAUUUUAUCAUUACCCUAUGCUGUUUUUUUUAAUUGUAGCUCUACCUCGUAUCCUACUUUUCUUGUAGGUUCAUCAUGGGAAAUGAACAGUAUAUCCAAACAUUGAAUUCAUUAAAAGAAUGCACUACGAUUCAACGCAACACAGUAGAGAUACAUUAUGAAACAAUACAGAGGGAAAAAGUCAAAGGAAGAUAGGUUACCCCAAUAUCAUGCAUUCGAUUAAGCUACUAAUGCUAAGAACAACACAGAGAACUUCAAAAGAAGUUGGCAGUCGAUCAGAGAAUGGAGAAUUAGAAUGAGGAGGUUAUUUGCAUAUAAUUGACUGACAGGAGAGCUCAGCCGCAAUUUUUGGGAUUAGCCUUAUGAAAAAGCAGUAAAUGCUAAGAGAGUCUAACCAAAUUAAAUGUUCAGUAACAACUGUUGCAUCUUUUCGCCUUUUGUAUAUCGCUUGGUUCGCCUGGUGAUUCCGUGCUCUGCACUAAUUUCGAGGCGGUGAAAUUAGAUGCUCAUGUUGGUACAACUUUGACGAUGAGAGUUCCAGAGCCAAUUAACAUACGCAUGGAACUAGCAAUUCGGAAGAGUAAAUUUGCACCAAAUGCUAUAAUGCACCGUUAAUUCAUCACAAUUGUUGUCAAAUUCAUGAAAAAUGCGCCAUGUUUAUAAAUAUAUAAUAAAAUAUUUGGGUUUUUGUAACAAGAAGGGGAUGUAGCUCAGAUGGUAGAGCGCUCGCUUAGCAUGCGAGAGGUACGGGGAUCGAUACCCCGCAUCUCCAAUCAUUUUCGUCUGCCUUUUUUUUUUUCCCCUUCACUCGUCAAUCAUUUUAAAGCAUGUUAAUACACACACCUCCAUGGAUACACUACAAAUUUGUAAAGUAAAAAAUUAUUUUUCAUGAACCAUUUUAAUCCCUACAUUCUGUGAGCGAGCACAUUAAUCACCUGUUCUGACUCCUGGUAUCAUUCCAGUCUACAUUUUGCACGUAAGCUUGUGGUCGGUUUUUCGAUUGUCCUCCCCUAAAAAGCCUUCUGUUUGUUCACUAAAAUAUAGUAAAAACAAUUUCUCUGUGAAUUCAGAAAUUUGUGUUACUUAGCUUCAGAUUCAUGGAGGAAAAAAAGUAUUUGACUAUACUGCUUCACAUACAAUAACAACAUAAAAUGAAUUCACGAGGAAUUGUUGAGUUUCAAGAGAAAUCUAAUGUCAACUAAGCCAUGUAACAACUGAAAAGUACAUCAAUAGUUACAUUGAGAUUGACUAUAUGAUAAUCACGGUGGCAACUACAAAAAUAUACUCUUUACUUGAUAUAUUUCAAGUAAAGUUGGAUAAUACCGAUGAUCAAUCAGCCUCCUGCAACCCAUCCAAAACUAUUGACCCGACAAACAACCCGACUGCAGUCAACCCGAAUGCUCCAGCUAAAACAGCCUGAGCCACCACAAGACCCACAGAGUCAUCAGGUAUGAACACGAUUGCUAAAAUAGCCGCCACUAGAAUAGGAAGCGCUGCAGACGCCAAAGCAGCAGGCGAAAAACUGGCUGACUUCUCCAGCAAACUGAGCAGCCCUAGUUCUUCGGCCUUUGAAAAUAGCCCUAACUUCUCUAUGGAUGAGAGCGUAAAUCCUAGUUCUUCGGCCUUUGAUAGAAGCCCAGCUUUCUCCACAGUACUCAAAACAGGUACGGGGAUCGAUACCCCGCAUCUCCAAUCAUUUUCGUCUGCCUUUUUUUUUUUUCCCCUUCACUCGUCAAUCAUUUUAAAGCAUGUUAAUACACACACCUCCAUGGAUACACUACAAAUUUGUAAAGUAAAAAAUUAUUUUUCAUGAACCAUUUUAAUCCCUACAUUCUGUGAGCGAGCACAUUAAUCACCUGUUCUGACUCCUGGUAUCAUUCCAGUCUACAUUUUGCACGUAAGCUUGUGGUCGGUUUUUCGAUUGUCCUCCCCUAAAAAGCCUUCUGUUUGUUCACUAAAAUAUAGUAAAAACAAUUUCUCUGUGAAUUCAGAAAUUUGUGUUACUUAGCUUCAGAUUCAUGGAGGAAAAAAAGUAUUUGACUAUACUGCUUCACAUACAAUAACAACAUAAAAUGAAUUCACGAGGAAUUGUUGAGUUUCAAGAGAAAUCUAAUGUCAACUAAGCCAUGUAACAACUGAAAAGUACAUCAAUAGUUACAUUGAGAUUGACUAUAUGAUAAUCACGGUGGCAACUACAAAAAUAUACUCUUUACUUGAUAUAUUUCAAGUAAAGUUGGAUAAUACCGAUGAUCAAUCAGCCUCCUGCAACCCAUCCAAAACUAUUGACCCGACAAACAACCCGACUGCAGUCAACCCGAAUGCUCCAGCUAAAACAGCCUGAGCCACCACAAGACCCACAGAGUCAUCAGGUAUGAACACGAUUGCUAAAAUAGCCGCCACUAGAAUAGGAAGCGCUGCAGACGCCAAAGCAGCAGGCGAAAAACUGGCUGACUUCUCCAGCAAACUGAGCAGCCCUAGUUCUUCGGCCUUUGAAAAUAGCCCUAACUUCUCUAUGGAUG